rnacentral:rRNA from 1 species
CGCGUAGGCGGUCAUGCAAGUCAGGUGUGAAAUCCCAGGCUUAACCUGGGAACUGCGCUUGAAACUGCAUAGCUUGAGGCCGGGAGAGGAAAGUGGAAUUCCUGGUGUAGCGGUGAAAUGCGUAGAUAUCAGGAGGAACACCGGUGGCGAAGGCGGCUUUCUGGACCGGUUCUGACGCUGAAGCGCGAAAGCGUGGGGAGCAAACG